rnacentral:lncRNA from 1 species
CCCUACCAGGAUUGUGGUCUCACAUGCCGGACGGGGUAUGGAGAUCUUAUGGUUUUGGCGCCCAUACCGGACGGGGUAUGGGGACGGCCCGUUUCACCCUCAUACCGGACGGGGUAUUGAGGUUUAUGGUUUUGGCGCCCAUACCGGACGAGGUAUGGGGACGGCCCGUUUCACCCUCAUACCGGACGAGGUAUUGAGGUUUAUGGUUUUGGCGCCCAUACCGGACGGGGUAUGGGGACGGCCCUGGAAACUGAUUAUGAAUGUUAAAGGUUAACGGGUAGCGGGACCCCUAUGGACCCCCAUAGAUACUAGUAGGCUGGUAAAUGA